GUGUCAGCCGCCGCGGUAAUACGGAGGGGGCUAGCGUUGUUCGGAAUUACUGGGCGUAAAGCGCACGUAGGCGGACCGACAAGUCGGGGGUGAAAUCCCGGGGCUCAACCCCGGAACUGCCUCCGAAACUGCCGGUCUGGAGGUCGAGAGAGGCGAGUGGAAUUCCGAGUGUAGAGGUGAAAUUCGUAGAUAUUCGGAGGAACACCAGUGGCGAAGGCGGCUCGCUGGCUCGAACCUGACGCUGAGGUGCGAAAGCGUGGGGAGCAAACAGGAUUAGAAACCCUUGUAGUCC
rnacentral:rRNA from 1 species